rnacentral:rRNA from 1 species
ACACGUAGGGGGCGAGCGUUGUCCGGAAUUACUGGGCGUAAAGAGCGCGUAGGUGGUUAAGUAAGUCAGGUGUGAAAGGCCAGGGCUCAACUCUGGGACUGCACUUGAAACUGAUUAACUUGAGGGUAGGAGAGGUAAGUGGAAUUCCUGGUGUAGCGGUGAAAUGCGUAGAUAUCAGGAGGAACACCAGUGGCGAAAGCGACUUACUGGCCUAGCUCUGACACUGAGGCGCGAAAGCGUGGGGAGCGAACAGGAUUAGAUACCCUGGUAGUCCACGCCGUAAACGAUGGGUACUAGGUGUAGGAGGUAUCGACCCCUUCUGUGCCGCAGCAAACGCAUUAAGUACCCCGCCUGGGGAGUACGGCCGCAAGGUUGAA